ensembl:lncRNA
UAAGAAUAUGACAGCUUUUGGCCACCCGUUUCUACUUAAAAUUGUCUGUGAUAAUAUGACAGCGUUUGGCCACCCGUUUCUACUUUCACCUUUGAUUCUGAGAUAUGUGAUAAUUCACGGAUAUAUUAAAUGCAGGUGCGCUGCUCUGUAGGCAAACCGCGAUAGAAAAAAGGGUAGAUGCUUCAUCGGAAAAUAUGGUAUUUUAGCAUAGUUACGCCAUUAAAAGUGUUUAUGUAAACAUUUUUUAGCGAGAAAUGUGCAUUUUACGAAUGUGCGAAUAUGAAGGAUGUUUUGUUUGAUAGUUAUGGCGAAGAAUAUUUCAGUCGUCUCCACAUAAUGAUUAUAACAUGGUUGCUAUGAUGGUUGCUAUGGACGCUGAAACCAGCAGCUCGCAUGCCGUUAAAUCAUGGGUAUAAAACCAUUGUCUUUGCUGGUUAUGUAAGGGAUAAUGUAUAGAACAAUUAUUGCCUUCAGGCGAUAACGGCUUAUUUUAGAUAAUGACCGGCGACGCUCAUUGCACGGAUACUUGCCUAAACGAAAUACUAACUUCACAUGGUGUGUCUUUUUACAAUUUAUUUGUUACCAGCAUUCGUAGUAUCCAAACAAAUCCUUCGUUUACCUUGACAGCGGUCAAUUAUACUUGGCAACGAUGAAUUAUCAAAUAUAAUUCACGCCGGAAGUUGUGAAGGGUGAACCGAGCGUUCCACGGCAUUGAAAAGACCCGUGUAAUAAGAUAUUUUAUGUAACCUUAUAAUAAUGUUCUCCUAUUGAACAACAUUAUGGCGUCUUCUUUCUUGGGAUUUCCUGUGAGCAGCUGCUCCGGUUACACAUGUAUUAACCCGACAUCGGCUCUAAUAGACGCUAUCUGUCCUACUUGAUAGAUAUAAGAACGAUGUUUAUGGCUAGACAGAUGUUUCAAUGACGUCAGGUUGCUAGGGACGGGCUGAAAGACGCCGUGGGCACCUGUCCCAUUGGAAGUCAGAGGACCUGUCCCGGUAGUAGUGUAAUGUCCGUUUUUAGGUUUUUACCCUAACGAUGAUUUAAAAAAAAUAUCUGUGACGCUUCUUGCCCUUAACACAGCAUUGUAUCCUUGUUAUUUACACAAGCCAAUGUUACGUACAUCUUUUUCCGGAUUUUCCGAGCGUCGUCCUUGGCGGAAGUUGCAGUUUUCGCGCUACCAACCUCAGGUAAGAACUCGCAUUGAAUGGUUAAGAGACUAAAAAUAAGAAGUAGGCCUAAAACGACGCCACAAAGGUUGAUAGUAUCAGCCCAAAUGAAGUGGAUAGCCCGUUUAGAACUGUACAGUAGCAAUUUAAUUUGACAGAUUUAUUUAAGACACUACACUGUCAUAAAUGUGCACAGACGUAUUUUAGCCAGCUAGUAGCCUAUCCGAGCCCUACAGCCAGCUAGUAGGGCUACAGGAUGAAAAAGGCUAAGUCUUUAAAUGUAAUCUUUAUUUUGGUGUACAUUUAUUUGAAAAGCCUUGCAUAAACUAUAUUGACCGUUGCUAUGAACAAGAAACAUGUUUCCUAAAUGUUUAAAUCAUGUCACGAUGUAAUCUUGAAUGUGGUGUGUGAUGGUUACCUUGCAUCAAUGACUGAGAUGUGCUUUGAUUUCCUAUGCAUCAAAAUAGACAUUGCAUACACAACUGUAUUUGUUUUGUUAUAUUUGCAAUUUCAUUUUAAUAAAAUAAAAAGUCCAUAGGGUAAUCCUGUUUGCCAUUUGGCUAAUUAUAUGGUCAGCAAUAUGUUAUGAUGGUAUUGAUACCAUUGUUGCCUUUUCCCACUGGCAGCCCUUACAGUAGCCUACAUCCAGAUGGGAUACUUAACCUAAUUGCCAUUUGUCUUUGAAUGUAUAUUUACAAUGUGCAUCAAUGAAUUAAAAACAUUUUAACUGGUGAAUACUUUAUACUAUGACAAGUAUUGACUGCAUAUUAUAGCUUCUAUCACUCCAAUUGCAAUAGGACCAAUAUAUAUGAAUGAAACAACGUACCACUUGUAGUAUUUUAUACUGUAAUGAACUGACAGCAAACAUUUCACCAUCAUUUGCAGAAUGACAAAGCCAAAAACGAGGCUGUGCCCUUCCUGCCAGACCCCAAAUUGGCUGAGGAGGAAGACCUGUGCAAAUUGUGUCUGCCCUCUUCAGCAGAGUGGCAAAGAUUUGCAAAGUUGGGCAAAGUCUGUGAAGGCCAACAAAAACGCACACAGGACCUUGGAGUCGGCCCAUGUAUCGGUGAAUAAACUAAAUGCUCUUGGGUACUGCCCUUUGUUAUUUGUGGGACGACAUGGCCGAAAAGGAGAAUUCAACGGGGACAUGAUUCACCAUAUCCCGGUCAAUGAUGAGGUGGUGUGGGAAAUCCUGAAAAAAAUGGGCAAGCUGUUAGGGAAGCUGGAGGUGCAGGCAGGCAGAGCUGCAUCUCCGCCAGGGCGCAUCAACAGCUGUGCCUGGGCCAAUGGCGGACAGUGCUCGGUCUGGAGCAGGGCCAGGACCAGGACCAUCCUUCACCCCCUCUCAGCCUCCUCCCCCUCCACCCUUCACCCCUCUCAGCCUCCUCCCCCUCCAACCUUCA